CCUACGGGUGGCAGCAGUCGAGAAUCAUUCACAAUGGGGGAAACCCUGAUGGUGCGACGCCGCGUGGGGGAAUGAAGGUCUUCGGAUUGUAAACCCCUGUCAUGUGGGAGCAAAUUAAAAAGAUAGUACCACAAGAGGAAGAGACGGCUAACUCUGUGCCAGCAGCCGCGGUAAUACAGAGGUCUCAAGCGUUGUUCGGAAUCACUGGGCGUAAGGCGUGCGUAGGCUGUUUCGUAAGUCGUGUGUGAAAGGCGCGGGCUCAACCCUCGGACGGCACAUGAUCCUGGGAGACUAGAGUAAUGGAGGGGGAAGCGGAAUGCGCGGUGUAGCAGUGAAAUGCGUAGAUAGCGAGAGGAACACUCGUGGCGAAGGCGGGUUCCUGGACAUUAACUGACGCUGAGGCACGAAGGCCAGGGGAGCGAAAGGGAUUAGAUACCCUUGUAGUC
rnacentral:rRNA from 1 species